rnacentral:rRNA from 1 species
CAGCCGCCGCGGUAAAACCAGCUCUUCAAGUGGUCGGGAUAAUUAUUGGGCUUAAAGUGUCCGUAGCCGGUUUAGUAAGUUCCUGGUAAAAUCGGGUAGCUUAACUAUCUGUAUGCUAGGAAUACUGCUAUACUAGAGGGCGGGAGAGGUCUGAGGUACUACAGGGGUAGGGGUGAAAUCUUAUAAUCCUUGUAGGACCACCAGUGGCGAAGGCGUCAGACUGGAACGCGCCUGACGGUGAGGGACGAAAGCCAGGGAGCGAACCGGAUUAGAUACCCGGGUAGUCCUGGCCGUAAACGAUGCAUACUAGGUGAUGGUACGGCCAUGAGCCGUAACAGUGCCGUAGGGAAACCGUUAAGUGUGCCGCCUGGGAAGUACGGUCGCAAGGCUAAAACUUAAAGGAAUUGGCGGGGGAGCAC